UCGUACAAUGGGGGUACCCGGGUUGUCGCUGACUUUUCGUCGUGCACGCCCUGAGUGCUCUCACAUACAAAUAUCCAUCUCACCCCUUUGUGCAUCGCCGCGUGCGUCCCCCCCUUCCUCGGAAGGCGGGGUGCUCAGGUUUUUAACAUCAAACACCCUAGUGUAGAAUGUUCUUUGCGCGAUCACGCGCGAAUCAAUACAACUUUCAACAACGGAUCUCUUGGCUCUCGCAUCGAUGAAGAACGCAGCGAAAUGCGAUACGUAAUGUGAAUUGCAGAAUUCAGUGAAUCAUCGAAUCUUUGAACGCACCUUGCGCCCCUUGGCAUUCCGAGGGGCACACCCGUUUGAGUGUCGUGAACAUCCUCAACCUGCUUCGUUCUAUCGAACCAAGUAGGCUUGGAAUUUGGAGGUUUUUCUGCUGGCUUCCUCUGAAGCCCAGCUCCUCUUAAAUCUAUCAUUGGGAUCCGCUUUGCUAGAUCCUCGACGUUGAUAAGAUGUUUCUACGUCUUGGGUUUCUCUCGGGAAGGACCUGCUUCUAACCGUCCCCAUCGGGGACAAUGUUCGAGAGCCGAUCGCCCUUCACGGGGUGGGAAGCUUUUCGACCCAUGAAACCUUGACCUCAAAUCGGGUGAGACUACCCGC
rnacentral:rRNA from 1 species